UACAGAGGUCUCAAGCGUUGUUCGGAUUCAUUGGGCGUAAAGGGCGCGCAGGCGGUUCGUUUAGUCCGAGGUGAAAUCUCCCGGCUCAACUGGGAGGGGUCUUUGGAUACUGGCGGACUUGAGGUGAGCAGAGGUGAGCGGAAUUCUGGGUGUAGUGGUGAAAUGCGUAGAUAUCCAGAGGAACACCAGUGGCGAAGGCGGCUCACUGGGCUCCACCUGACGCUGAGGCGCGAAAGCGUGGGGAGCGAACCGG
rnacentral:rRNA from 1 species